rnacentral:antisense_RNA from 1 species
GCCAGCUGGGCUCGGAGUGCAGCGGGGUUAGGGUGGACGAGGACGUGUUGCACCCUGAAGAGCCUCAUCAUCGGUGAGAGUGGGGUGGGCAAGUCCAGCCUGCUCUUGAGGUUCACAGAUGAUACCUUUGAUCCAGAACUUGCAGCAACAAUAGAUCCAUCUUCGGUUGUGAAUCCGGCCCGGGAUGCAGCCACCCCUUAGAGCAACCCCCCCUGCUGCUCGUGCCCUGCUGUGCUACUGCCUCAGUCACUUCCUGCUUGGUCAAGACCACAGCUGCUGAUGUCACAGCUGAGGCACAUCAAAAAGGCUGCCUGAUUCAAAGAAAGCUGCCGGAUAAAUCAUAGAACACAGACACUUCUACCUCAUGCUCUUAUGGGACUUUAGGAACCAAACAUAAGCACCUAUGGAAAAUGCACGGCGGUCUUGAAAGGCUGUGGUCUUUCAAGAAAAUAUCUGAAUGACUGUCUGUCAGUCCUACUCUGCAGGCUUGCUAAGAUGAUG